GAUGAACGCUGGCGGCGUGCUUGAUACAUGCAAGUCGAACGGAGAGUGUAGCAAUAUACUUUUAGUGGCGAACGGGUGAGUAACGCGUUGGUGACCUGCCCCGAAGCGAGGGAUAACAGUUCGAAAGAACUGCUAAUACCUCAUGUGAUCACCGGUUUUAGAAUCUGGUGAUUAAAGGUGAAAAUCACUUCGGGAGGGGCCUGCGUCCCAUCAGCUAGUUGGUAAGGUAAUGGCUUACCAAGGCGACGAUGCGUAGCCGACCUGAGAGGGUGAUCGGCCACAUUGGGACUGAGACACGGCCCAGACUCCUACGGGAGGCAGCAGUGGGGAAUAUUGCACAAUGGGGGAAACCCUGAUGCAGCAACGCCGCGUGAGUGAUGACGGCCUUCGGUUGUAAGACUCUGUCUUCUAGGGACGAGUAAUGACGGUACCGUCGAGGAGGAAGCCGACGGCUAACUACGUGCCAGCAGCCGCGGUAAACGUAGUCUACG
rnacentral:rRNA from 1 species